AACGAACGCUGGCGGCAGGCUUAACACAUGCAAGUCGAACGCCCCGCAAGGGGAGUGGCAGACGGGUGAGUAACGCGUGGGAAUCUACCUAGUUCUACGGAACAACAGAGGGAAACUUCUGCUAAUACCGCAUACGCCCUAUGGGGGAAAGACUUAUCGGAAUUAGAUGAGCCCGCGUAAGAUUAGCUAGUUGGUGAGGUAAUGGCUCACCAAGGCGACGAUCUUUAGAUGGUCUGAGAGGAUGAUCAGCCACACUGGGACUGAGACACGGCCCAGACUCCUACGGGAGGCAGCAGUGGGGAAUAUUGGACAAUGGGCGCAAGCCUAAGCCAGCCAUGCCGCGUGAGUGAUGAAGGCCCUAGGGUUGUAAAGCUCUUUCAGUAGGGAAGAUAAUGACGGUACCUACAGAAGAAGCCCCGGCUAACGUCGUGCCAGCAGCCGCGGUAACAC
rnacentral:rRNA from 1 species